rnacentral:siRNA from 1 species
CACAGUCAUGCUCGUUUUUGGU